GUAACGUGUGAUGGACCCACUACGUCUGGGCCCUCCUAAGUUUUUAAUUCUCAAACUUGUCCACACUGAUCUUCUAGCAAUUGCAGUUCUGGUUUUCUAACUCUGGCCCUGGCUCCUGAGAAAGAGACUGCUCAUAGACUUCUGCUCCACUGGCGCAUGUCUCCCUCGGACAAAGCCACUGGGAAGCACAGGCGCUCUGAUUGGUGAACCAGAACCGUUUCCCUGACAUCCCUGAAAAAAUGCAGACCUGAUCAAUCACUUGACUGAACUCUACUUGAAACACAUGGACUUUGGUCAAAUAAGCAUUUGCCACUUGAUUUGUACAGCAUUCCAACAAACGUCCAACUCAAGUCUUCUCUUGAACCUGAUCUGCAAGGUUGUUUCUGAUGGAGUUUCGCUCUUGUUGCCCAGGCUGGAGUGCAAUGGCGUGAUCUCAGCUCACCGCACCCUCUGUCUUCCUGGUUCAAGCGAUUCUCCUGCCUCAGCCUCCUGAGUAGCUGGGAUUACAGGCAUGCGCCACCACGCCCAGGUAAUUUUGUAUUUUUAGUAAAGACAGAGUUUCUGCAUGUUGGGCAGGCUGGUCUAAAAUUACUAGAAAAAUAGAAGUAAUUUAUUAUAGCAAUUUAUUUAAGUUAUUCUUAUAUUUAAAAUACCAGCAGUUAAAUAUGCCUAGGAAAAUCUAAAUAAUGACCAUUGGUAUUGGAAGGAAAUUGGGGCAGUGUUUAACCUAAAGGGAUGACUAACAUCAGUAGAAUUUCAGUCACUGUGAUACCUGGGAAGGGAAGAGAAUUUUUUUGGGAGGUGCACGCAGUUGGCUUUUUUCAUGCUGUUUGAGUUAUAAUAAUCAAAUAAUUGUCUAAAUUGAGCAUGAAGGUUUUCUUACUUCUAUAUGUUCAAUAGUGUAUUGAAAUUUAAAAAUUUAUGUAAAACAGAAUUUAAGGAGUCUAUUUGCAAAUCUUAGAAUCCCUAAUAGAUUUUAACUUCUCUGAGAGCAGGGGCUAUGCCUUUUACAGCUUUAUUUCUCAGUACUAUAUAGUAGAAAUUUUAUAUACUUACUUAUAGUUAAUAUCAUUAACAUAUUUGAUAGUAGAUAUUUAAUAAAGAUUAGUAGAUUGGAUAUGUUGAUGUAUUUUUAAAAUUUAGUCUGUUUUGAAGCAGAGUCUGACUCUGUUGCCCAGGCUGGAGUGCAUGGCGUGAUCAUGGCUUACUGCAAUCUCUGCCUCCUGUAUUCAAGCGAUUCUCAUGCCUCAGCCUCCUGAGUAGUUGGGAUUACAGGCAUGUGCCGCUUUGGCAUGGCUAAUUUUUGUGUUUUUAGUAGAGAUGGGGUUUUGCCAUGAUGGCCAGGCUGGUCUCGAACUCCUGGCCUCAAGCAAUCCACCCGUCUCGGCCUCCCAAAGUGCUGGGAUUAUAGGCGUGAGCCACAGCACCUGGCCAGAUAUAUUUUAAAAAUUUAGAUACAAACAUACUAUUAUAUGGGUGAGAGC
rnacentral:lncRNA from 1 species